rnacentral:rRNA from 1 species
AUGAAGCUGGAAUCGCUAGUAAUCGCAGAUCAGAAUGCUGCGGUGAAUACGUUCCCGGGUCUUGUACACACCGCCCGUCACACCAUGGGAGUAGGUAAUGCCCGAAGUCGGUGACCUAACCGGAAGGAAGGAGCCGCCGAAGGCAGGACUUAUAACUGGGGUGAAGUCGUAACAAGGUACC